rnacentral:rRNA from 1 species
AACGUAGGUGGCGAGCGUUAUCCGGAUUUAUUGGGCGUAAAGAGGGCGCAGGCGGCUGGGCAAGUCGAAUGUGAAAUUUCCCGGCUUAACUGGGAAGGGCCAUUCGAUACUGCUUGGCUCGAGUGCAUCAGGGGGAGGUAGAAUUCCCGGUGUAGUGGUGAAAUGCGUAGAUAUCGGGAGGAAUACCAGUGGCGAAGGCGGCCUCCUGGGGUGUUACUGACGCUUAAGCCCGAAAGCGUGGGGAG